UGGCGACUUUGCUAGUAUGAAUGCAUGAAUCUUCACCAGUUGUUAUAUAUGCUAAGAUUCUGCAUGUUAACUUCUGACCUUGUGUGAGAAGCGCAAGGUCACUCUUUCAUUGUAGUUUCAUUGCAGUUUUUCUCACUGUGCUAAUCAAGUUCAUCUGAUACUCUCAGCAAGAAAAAGUAGAAUCUGAUACAAAAUACAAUUAUGUUACGUACCCAGAAAGUAAUUUCAGGAAUGCACCUACAUAACUGUAAUACUGUUUUGCAUUACAUAACUUGCAAUUUGUAAUUGUUCAAGCACUACAGCUCGAGCAUUUCAGAUCUUCCGUAAGGAUGUGUUAUUGCACAAGCACUGUCAAUAAAUGACAUUUUGUCCAAUAUGUUUUGCUUUUAUAAGUACCUAAAUGUCGAUGUUUAGAUAAAUUCCUUUUUACAGACUAUUAGAGUGAUAAAAUAUUUUUUAGCAAAAAGUUUAAAAAUAGCGGAGCGGCUGAUGAUUGCAAAGGAGGUAUGCUGGUGCCACUGGCCAUAGGAUCAGAUUCUGGAAAAGGGUGAAAGGUCAUCAAGAACAAGCAAGAGAAUGAAUUAGUGGCGACUUUGCCAGCAUGACUGCAUGAACCUCCAUUAUUUGCUGCAUAUGUAAAGGGUCUGAUACAUUCUCUUUAAGAAAUAGUACAUCAGUUACAAAGUAGAGUAGGUUACAUUAGAGCCAGAAAGAAACUUAAGGAAGCUCAGUGGAUCUUACAUUUAAAGAUUAUAGUACAUGACUGUAGUACGGAUGUUUGGCUCAAGCACUACAACUUGAGCAUUACAGAUCUUCCGUAAGGAUGGCAAAACGAGAAUCCAAUAGUGGCCCAAAAUGCCAACACAAAGCCAGCAGCUGUGACCACAUAUAGAACUGGGUCACUGGGUGUCUCUUCCACAUCUUUCCCCGCAGCAGGAUCUAGACCGGGAGCAGCACAGGUAUUCCCCUGAGUAAUGUUGUGAAGGUUGGUGUUGGCUAGGUAGCUGUCCAUGUUGAAUGAGCUGAGCUGUCCAUAGUUUGGUAUGCAUCCUGACAAGUUGUUGUAUGCCACAGAGAAUGCCCCCAAUGAUGAUAACUGGGUUAACUGCCAAGGUAUUGGUCCGCUCAGCUCAUUGUGGGAGAGGUCCAAGCUUUCUAUUUCCUCCAUGCCGCCAAAGGUCAUUGGGAUUGGACCAACAAAUAAAUUGUUGGACAGGUUCAGGGAUUUGAUAUGGCUCAGAUUUCCAAGCUCCCAAGGAAUUUCUCCAUCCAGCAUGUUUACAGACAGGUCAAUCCCUGACAUCGAAACAAAGAAACUGCGUCCGUACGUGUAGAGAUUCCCUUUGGUAGUAAAGGUGAAGUCUACUAAUAAGUCAUAGUAAGCGGCCUGGAUGUCAGAAAUAAGAAGUCCACUAAUAAGGACUGGCUGCAAAAUUUGAUCAUCUGUAACACCUUUGAAAGAUAUAUUACCAAUACAUGCUGGUAGCAAGCCUGAAAGCUUGUUAUGAGAAAAAUCAAGUAUCCUCAAGUACAUGAGUCUGCACAGGUUUGGAGUGAUCUGCCCUUCAAACUUAUUUCCGCCCAACAAAAGUAGCCUAAUGUUGUCAAGAUAAUGUACCCAAUUUAGGUUGCCCGUGAACUGAUUGUGUCUGAUAUCCAAAGCAAUUAGACUUGAUGUGUUGAAAAGGGCAAAAGACAUAUCGCCAGAUAAAGAGUUCCCUGUAAGUUUAAGAAAAUUCAGCACUAUGAAGCAACUGUCUGGUACAGACCCUGUAAGGUUGUUGCGCGACAGAUCUAAAAGGCGAAUUCUUGUGAAGUCACAGAUGUGUUGAUCAAAUUUGCCUGUUAUAUGGUUGUCAGCAAGAUUCAGGGCCACCAAAGAAGACAUACUCCAAAAUGAUGUAUCGAGUUCGCCAGACAGCUCGUUAUCAUGCAAAUCAAUGACAUUUAGAGAAUAUGCUGCCAGAUCACGAGGCAAUGUCCCUGUAAAUUUGUUACCAUCCAAGCACAAUUUCUUUAUAUUGGACAGAUUAUUCAUCCCACCAAAAAUCGGACCACCAAGCCUGUUGUUCGAGACCUUCAAGGUGGAUAGCCCGGGAUAAUUAGUAAAAACACAAGCUGGAACCUCCCCAGAAAGUUUGUUGUUUGAUAGGUCUAAAAAUGUCAUGGAGCUGAUCUCACACAUUGGCGUUGGUAUGUGCCCAAACAAGUCGUUACUAGACAAAUCUAGAUCAGACAAAUUUGGAAACAUUGAGCUGAGGUUGGCCGGCAACUGUCCUGUGAUAUGGUUCAUGGCUAUGUUGAUAUCCGUGAGGAAAGAUUGGGCAUGCCAUAUUGGGUCUAGCGAUCCAGUUAACGAGUUAUUCCCAAGAUAUAGUUGUUGUAGUUUUGUUUCCUCUGUAAACAACCAAUUGGGCAUGCUGCCUGACAAGUUAUUGCUGGACAAAUCAAGCACCUCUAAAUGAUGCUGUGUGAGUAAAAAAUGUGGUUCUGCAAUAAUGUUCUUGUUAAGGUCACAGCCAGAGAGCACUAACUGUUUCAAUUGGAAUGAAGGUGUCCAUCCAGGAAUAUUGAUGUCAAUAACUAGGUUACCAUUGCCUGAAAGGUCUAUCUCUUCUAGCUUUGUGAGGUUUUGAAGCCAAAUGAAAGAAAGUUUACCACUCAAAUUAUUUUGGGAAAACCGAAGACUCUUAAGGGACAAUGAAAGAUCCGAAGAUGAAUUUAUAAGAAUUUGUCCUCCGAGCAAAUUCGUCGAGAGGUUCAACCGUUCGAUAUGUGGAAGCGAGAACAAGAAUUUUGGAAUGUUUCCGCUGAAUUGGUUGGAACUCAAAUACAACUCUCGUAGGUUCUUGAGGAUUUCAAAUGCUGCAGAAGUACCAAAUCAUGUAUUAAUAAUUACUCAUAGAAAACAAUGGUGACACCAUCUUUACUGAUAUAAGCAGGAAAUGCUCAUUAUAGGAGGACUGUAGGAGCACCUUGUACAUUCGGAAGAGCUCCACUCAGCUUAUUAUGUUCAAGAUGUAAGACUUCAAGUGGAACUGGUUCCGAAGAUAAAUGAAUAGGGAAAUCUCCCUCGAAUUCAUUAUAUGAGAGAUCUAGGAACUUCAGAUGAGGAAGUGAAAAUAUUGACACAGGGAGGGAUCCGCUGAAUAGGUUGCUAACCAAAUGCAAGUUCCUGAUGUUUUUAAAGGCUGUGAUGCAUGUAAGUAGUACAGUUAGUACAGGUGGCACAAAAUUAAAGUAGGGAGAUUGAAGUAUGAAACACGAUGUCUCAUUUUUUAAUGUAAGAUAGAUAUUUUUACCUGAGAGAGUUCCGUUGAGGCGAUUAAAACUGAGAUCUAGGACUUCAAGUGACAUUGGACCCGAGAAUGAGCUUAUUGGAAUAUGCCCAUCGAAGUCAUUAAGGGAGAGAUCUAGGAUCUUUAGGUGAGGAAGUGCAAAUAGCGAUGCCGGGAGGCUUCCGUUCAAGCUAUUCCAAUACAUGCUCAUUCUCAAUAGCUGCAAUGUGUGUAGGCAUGCGAGACGAGUUUAUGAAUAUGCAACUUUGACGUCUACCUUAGUAUUCUACUAUAUAAUUAAGCACAAAUCUGUACCUGCGCUUGGAAGACCUCCGGUCAUGUGGUUACCGUCGAGAACUAAGACUUCUAGUGAAACAAUUUGCCCAAUAAAUUCUGGGAACCCCCGUCCCCAUGCACUGUUACUGAAAUCGAGAUAUCGAAGCUUGGCUAGUCCAAGCAAACAUGCAGGUGUUUUAGUUUGUACAACAAUGAAAAUAAGUCACCGCACAUACAUAUUGUUCUAAAAGAAAAGGAGAAUUUGGAGUACAAAUGUACCUUCCAAGGCUAGCGAACAUGGAUAAUUGUAUGACAGAUCAAGGUAUUGAAGUUCAUGUAAUGCAGAAAACACCGUCGAGUUUAGAUGCCAACUCUCUUCUGAAUUAGUUACAUAUACAGAGGAAAGGUUGAGAUGAGACACCCGCUGUGUUGUAUCGUCGCAUUUCACGCGCUCCCACGAGCAGCAGUCAUCACCAUCCUCCCCCCAUGAAUCAAGCGCACUCAGGGAAUGCGCUCUUACCAGAGAAGACCGGAUGUCCAGUAGAGAAGCCCUCUCCUCCAGGAAGCAGCCAGAGGACAAGUGAAACAUGGACUGUAACAAGAGAAACAACGCCAAAGACAAUGAUCCCCAUGGCAAGCAGCUAACCAUAUCUGAUAAUAAGCUUUUCCUUCUCCUGUACAUUUAGGUAGCUAGACUUUGGGAGAGAAAUGGUGAGAUUUACAGUUCUGCAUGCUUGGCUUUUAUCUUUCGCUAGCUUCUUGGUACUAACUGUAGACAAGAACAUGUCAGGAAUACGAGACAAGGAGUACGGCUUGGCACAGGCGGUCAGUUUACAUGGACCGAGUCAUUGGCAAUCAUCAUCAUCCACAGCAAAUCUUGUUGUAAAUAUAUUUCGAUGCACUCUUGACCAGUGGAUGGCCAAUUAGUUGCAGCCGGCAUUAGGUGCCGGCUAGAUUGUUUCCUUUUUUUUGACAGCAAAUGCCGGCUAGACAUUUCAAGUUCUAAAGACGUCAUGUGGGGGCCCAAGGGAGUAUGUUUCUAGAGAUACCAGACUACAUUUUUUUUCAAUAAAGAGAGUAUAUAUUAAUAUCAAGAAGAUAUGGUUACAUUCAAUAUGUACACCAAGGAAGCUAGUCAAGACAUAGAGAAUGCACACUGUCAAAGUAUCACGAAAGGAAAAGAAAGCAAUUAAUGUUUCUUUGAAGGAUCCAGCAAUUUGCUGGCUUCAUUUGAUUUAGCAGAUAGCACAUGGGAAACACAUGGUGUCGAUGAUCUUUGACACUCACGAACCCCCNNNNNNNNNNNNNNNNNNNNNNNNNNNNNNNNNNNNNNNNNNNNNNNNNNNNNNNNNNNNNNNNNNNNNNNNNNNNNNNNNNNNNNNNNNNNNNNNNNNNNNNNNNNNNNNNNNNNNNNNNNNNNNNNNNNNNNNNNNNNNNNNNNNNNNNNNNNNNNNNNNNNNNNNNNNNNNNNNNNNNNNNNNNNNNNNNNNNNNNNNNNNNNNNNNNNNNNNNNNNNNNNNNNNNNNNNNNNNNNNNNNNNNNNNNNNNNNNNNNNNNNNNNNNNNNNNNNNNNNNNNNNNNNNNNNNNNNNNNNNNNNNNNNNNNNNNNNNNNNNNNNNNNNNNNNNNNNNNNNNNNNNNNNNNNNNNNNNNNNNNNNNNNNNNNNNNNNNNNNNNNNNNNNNNNNNNNNNNNNNNNNNNNNNNNNNNNNNNNNNNNNNNNNNNNNNNNNNNNNNNNNNNNNNGUCUCCGGCGACGGUGCGCCUCGGCGGGCGGUGCCCCGGUGUAGAUCGGGCGCAGGCGUGGCGGCGGCCCGGCCCUUUGGUGGCGGUGGCGGCUGGCGGCGCGGGGUUGGCCGGCGGAGCCCUGCAGGCCCAGAUCUGUGCCCUUCUGGGCUCGAUUUGGGCAAGGGCGGGUUGGUCUGGCCUCCGGCGGGUCGCCUCCGACUGGGCUGGCGAGAUGCAGACGUUGGGAUCGGCGGCGCUGCGCUGCGUCGGCAGGAGCUUAGUGGGCCCGAUUUGGGCCCGGCUGGGCAGGGGGUCCGGCGUGCUCCUGCUCCUGCGUCUGGUCUGCUACUGCGUGUGCCAGUGGAGGUUGUCCCCUCCCACGUGGCUGCGGUACUACCGGUCCCUAUCAUCGGUGGCCUCGUUUGGUUCGGCCGGCCUCGCAGGGUCUGUGGUGGAGAGAUGAUGGUGGUGUCCUCGUGACUGUGGUGGCGCAUGUUGGUGGGCGGUUGGCAUGGUGGAGCCGCCGGUUGGUCCUAGGUUGUGGGUAUGAGGGGUAGGGCGAAAUCCCUCUCGGGUCUGCCCGACACCGAUGCGGUGACGCCUGCGGGCGCCAUCAACCUUCUUGAAGGGCGUCGGGAGUACCUCUCCUCCGCUUCCCUCCGUGUAUCGGGAGAUAUCAUAGGAGUCAUCCGGGCAGCAGCGUCGUCGUCGUCGCAGUCCUUCUUGAAGGUGUUGCUUGGUACGCGGUGACUCGGUGGCAUUGGAGCGUGGGGGAUGUGUCCGGUGGGCGCAACGGUUGCGGGAUACUACAGCUUUCGUUGAUCCGGUGCUGCUGGCAUUUCUUUCUCUUGUUUUUCUCUUGUUUUCCUUUUGGGCGUGAUUGUGUUGUUUGCCCCAGAGUUGGACUUCUUGUUGUAUCGGGUGGUUGCUAUAUUAAUAUAGCGGGGCGAAAGCCUAUUUCGUCAAAAACAUGGUGUCGAUCAAGUGAUCAUGGUAGAGCGGAGAGAAGAGAAUGAAAGGAGAAAAAAUAAGAGAAAGGGGAAGAGGGGAAACAUGUGCCCUCUAUCUCAUAACAUCAACCAGGAAUGGUUGCAACUCUAGAGUAACAGGAGUGGUGCUCCAUUUCAAACAGGUGACACAUCAAGGAAGAGAACGACACACGAGCAGCGCCGUCGUAGGAUACAACCAUUGGGAUGAGAUCAGAUCAUGGGUUUCACCCCGAAGAGAAGUCUGAGAACCAUUCCCAGGGUCUACCAUGGAAGGUCGGACAUAGAGUUUCCCCUGGAACCCAACACUCAAAGAGCACCACCUAUCAGAAAUCGUCCUGCGCUUCCACCACAUGAUGAUCCAUCAACGCAUAGCUGCACACACCUGCAAAGUACAAACGUGAAUCUCAUAACGCAAUUGGGACCGCGCCCAUGAAACACAUGUUGUCGUGUUGUGCCUAACAAAGUCAGAUAUCGACGUCGAUCCCAUGACACCGAAUCCAGACCACCCACAUAGAGACGAAUUAGGCUAGUCACGCACACGUGAUUUUUUUAAACUCUAAAGACCGUUUUGCAAACAGACCGGAGAGAACUGGUUGGUUUUUGUACAAACUAGGAGAAAAACCAGAAUCGAUUGAACUGGUGACAGGCACAUUGUUAGUUUGAAAGAGAAAAACAAACCGCAAAGGCUAGGAAUCAAACCAUGGUCGCCAGGGGAACAUGCGAAGCCUUCGGCUUGGCCCAAGAACCGCUUGGCUUCGAUUGAUUAUGUGUCAAAAUUAAGGAACUUAUCUUAUUUGACCUCGUUGUAUUACUAUAUUAGCCUACAAAACAAAUUUUUUAUAGCCUAAUAAAAACCCAGCAAACGAACAAGUGAACGAGUGGUCUGACUGGUGAAAACCUGGACCGACAGGCUCACCAGUUCGGUCACCAAUCCAGUUUGUAAGACUAUGCUUAUGUGCGGAGUGAUAUAUAUGCACUACCAUGGGGGUGUAUUAUAGACCCAUUUGUUUACCCAAUUUUUUGGUGGGCUGCAAGAAAUAUAUCCUUGUGGAGGUGAUCUUUCCUGUUGUGGGGAUUGCUGAGUUUUCCUAGGCAAUGUGGAAAACCCGCACCAAAACUUGCUUUGAAAAAAUAUUUUAACAUAAGCUCCUGUUGAGCUGAUGUCUAAUAUGUAUGAUAUUUUCAUCCAUGGGAAAGUUUGCAAAUGGAUGCUGGCAAAAGAAACUUGCUUGAAGGGGUGACGACACCUCAGCACACGUGGUGUAAGCUCACAAAGCGGCGUAUGCAUCAAUAGCUGGUACAACCUUCAAAUGAGGGGGCGGACGAAGAAACUUCAUAUGAGGAGUAUGAUGAGGAUCAGGUUCUUCAGGCAUGGUGUCAUGCUGGAAGAGUGACCGGUUGCGUUCGUUGCUGCUUGUGGUUAAUAUCUGUUGGGGGCCAUGUGCCCUCCCAUGUUCCAUCCCUCAUCUUAAUUAUUGCACUUGUAGGGUGAGAAUUGACACGACGAUGUCAAUGUUGGAGAUGUCUUGAGAUAAAGUGCGCGACACACCAUUUUGCUUGCUAUAAGCAUUUGGAUGCGAUAAAAAAAACUUGUUAGUGACAGUUUAGAGGAUUUACAGUCGAACAAACAUAUCAUGUCAGUCACGUUCAUAAGACAAGGUAUCAACAAACGAGGACCGUCUUGGCUGCUUGUUCUGGCGGUUGUAGUGGUCAUUCAGUGGUCUCGGAAUCUCCAUGUAAUUUUUAUUAUGUUUGAGAUGGUUUGUACUUCCGGUGAACUUUUAUAAUAGAUCUUGUUUUUUUUUUGCAAAAAAAUGUACACAUAUGGCAAAUUGAGAGAGCCUUUGUGUUUUGGAGACACAAAUCAUGUGAAGAAUUAUUGAGCUUACAUAUACCAUUAACCGUGUUCAUUUGGAUGAUAUAAGUGGUAUGUUGUUAGCUAAUGUGCCAUUUGAGCAACCCUUGCUAACUAUGCUCACACACUCUGGCUGAAUCACUGCACCACUCUAAUGGGUGGAAAUUUUUUGUCUUAAACAAUUUUUCAGAAGCCUGAAGUUGCGUCUUAAGCUGGAAAGUGAGUUAGAAUUACAAGUUCAAGGAUGAAAGGUGGAUCUUUCACUCCUCUCUUACUCUUGUUUUUCAAAUGUAUAACCAUGACAUAGCAAUGAAAUCAAUGAUUUUUUCCUACGGCGUUUUCGAAAUAUCUAAAGGAAUGGUAACAUAAAAAUAGUACAAAAACCAAUACACACGGUAGAGUUAUUUAUAUUGAUAUCUCAUUAUUAAAACCAUCCUUCCAAAUUAUUUUCCAAACCAUCCAAACAUUGAUAAAAAUAUAUUCAAACAAAAUGAUCCACGCCUUAUAUUAUUUUUCAUCUAUAUACAAUUUUCAACUAACGGAAAUCAUGUAAAUUCUGCAAUUGAAGUUUUUGACGAUUUUCGUCAACGUGUAUGUUUUCACAACUCAUAUUUUAAAAACAACAUGUAGCCUGACCAAGGAAAUCUAGGGUUCCUUCUCUGCUGUCACCCAUCCGUCGCCUGUAGAUCGUCGACCUCCGCCAACUCUGUUGGUGGGGGUGUGCCGAGGGAGGCCUGAAUAUACCGAUUGGAGGUGUGGUCACCCUCACUUUGGGGGCAUUAGGACCCUACUUGUCCACCACUUCACCUCUUUCGAUGAUGGUCACGGCGAUGUUUAAUAAUGGUUUCUCUGACUUCUUUUUCAACCCUGGCGAUGCAUGCGUCGUCGGAUCUAGCAAUGAGAUCGUCUGGAUUAUUUUUCAUCAUAUUUAACAAUGAGAUCAAGUGUUCAUAUUUGAUUUGCCUUCCUCUUUGUGGAAACAUUGGGGGGCGGGGGUUGGUUGGUUGUGUAUUCGCCGGGUUAGUGAUGCUUCUGCAGCAAUGACACCGAUCUGGUUAUUCCAUCUGACUCUAGCGGACAUGUAGGUAUGAUCCAUUAUCAUUUUCUUAUUUGAAGGGUAUAUCCUUUAGAAUUGACGUCAUUGGCCUUUCAGGCAGUCCGACGACACCAUGUAACUCUAAUGACAUCAACAUCAACACGCAUUGGCGUGUGUGGGAUUGAGUGGAUGGAGGAUUCCUCAUGACUAACAGCCUGUUCAGAUCGAAAGUCAUCUUUUGAUCCCGAGCUCAUAUGCCCCCGCAUGAACAGUAAAAUCGAAAAAAAUUCAAAAAAUUCCAAUUUUUUUUUGAGAGAAACUUUGACAAAAGUUCUAAGUGCCUGCAAAAAUUCAUCAUGAAAUCACAUUCCUGUAAGGCGUGGCAAAAAAAACAAAUUCAGUGCUUCAAAAUGCGUUUGGAAGUAGCUUUUUCAGAAUACUGUUUUUGUUUUUUUUGCCACGCCUUCUAGGAAUGUGAUUUCAUGACGAAUUUUUACAGGCACUUGGAACUUUUAUCAAUGUUUCUCUCAAAAAAAUUUGGAAUUUUUUAUUUAGUUUUGAUUUUACUGUUCACCCGAGCUCAUUUGAGCUCGGGAGCAGAUUAGCCGCGUCCAACCCUUUGCUUUCGUCAAAUCCCUGACUCCACUCCCCGCUCCUAGGUUGGUAACUCCCCACAACAAAUCGGGAGUUGACAACUUGUUUGGCAGCAAACCCACUCCGCACUGGCUUCCCACGAUGUACCAAUUUUUGUCGCUCGUCUUCCUAAUUUUUUGUUUUUUAACACAGUACAGACGCAAGCGCUCAUACAUACAUGCAUACACCCACCCCUAUAAACACACACGCACACCCUACCAACCAGCAUAUCAUCUUGAGAUUUACAAAGUCACCGUUGGCAGACUUGAACCCUGAUGGGGUGGGGGUACAACUAUCCCUCCAACCAUCCAACCACUUGAUGGUUCGCCCUAAUUUUUGUCGUUGAUGCUAGGUAUCAUAGCACAUUAGCACGCAACUUGGUUAAUUUUGUGUUCUAAAAAAUUGGUUCAUUUCGAAAUUCAGUAACAUUUCGUCACACAACUAGUAAUAAGUACAGUAACAAAUUGGAUUAUUUUUAGAUGAAAGUAUGCCGAGUUCCUGACACGACCGGCACUGUCCAGCCUUCGUUAUCCAGUCUGUCGAGUUGACCUACGCCCACGCCGCCGCCGACGAUGUCGGCACCAGCAGCUCCGCCGUCGCCGACGAUGUCGGCAUCCAAUCCCAUCUGUCAGGCCGCGAUAUCUGAAGACUAGUAUUCAGUUAACUGUGGCAAUUCCGGCACAUACCGAUUCAGUCAUUCCAACGGCCCAGGAGACUCCUCAAGCUACUUUCGUCGUUAGCCGUUAGAUUUACUUUCCGUUACUAUUACUUUUCAUGCGUUUCCGUUUACAGCGAGACACCCACCUACUUAACAGCCGGGUUGUGGCUGAGCUGGGCAUUGAAUCUUCCAGAUUUCCCUUCGAGGAUGAACCGUAAACUUAUACGGCACAGCCGAUAGCAAUAUAGAACCCAGAUCGGGGCCUCUUUCCUCGCAAUUCUCUGAAAUUCGUCCAUACAAAUCCCUUCUCUCAACCCGUAGAGUAACUAGGUCCUGACAAAUUGGCAUCAGAGCAGUGGUUCCUCGGUAGCUUCCGAUCGGAUCUCAAAUUUUCUCAAGAGAGGCAAGAACACCCACCCAAUUCCCUCCCUGUGUUGUGUGAUAAUGGUGGGCGGCGAUCGACGCGAGCGGUGAAGGUGUUCCUUCACUGCGACGUCAGGCGGUGGCGGAUCAAGGGCGGCGCAGGCGGCAGUGAUCGUUCGGGUGCAGAUCAGUAGCGCGGAGUGGUUGUGCUGGAUCACUUCCAGCAAAGUAAAAUUCCACGUCCUUCGCUGAUCCGUGUACCUUGGGAGGUGUGGAGCUUUGGCGGCGGCAGGAUCUGGACUGGAGAGGCUGGUUGCCGCAUCUGCGGUGGUAAAAUUCCCCCUCUCUUCUCUGGGUCAAGGUGAUGGGGCCCUCGAAGGCAGUUGAUGAGGCCGAGUGGCAGGAGGUUCUCUCUCUCUCUCCGAGAUGAGUUUGGUGCAGUUCAACAGGAAAACGCAGCGAUGCGAACAGAUGUGUCCAAAUUACAGGAAGAUGUUCAGUCGAUCAGUUCCAAACAAGGCGAAAUAGCUCUGCAAGUUGGAGGGAUUGAAAGAGUUGUGUUAGAUCUGGGGAAACAAUUGUCCACAAUGAGUUCAGUCUUGCAGAAAUUGGUGGCUCCAUCUGGGUCAGGAACUGGAGCUGAGAAACAACCUGAAGCUGACACUGUUGUUAGAUCACCAACGUUGCAACAGCAACAGCAGGACAAACCACCUAGCAGAACUGAGCAGUUGAGACAACAGUUAGAAGCAGAAAAGGAAAAGACCAGACAACUAGAGGAAUUACAAAUGCAGUAGUUACUUCCAAUCAGAACUGGCAGAACUGCAGCACCACCUGGAUUUGGAGCUCAUGCAAAUUUGGAAACAGCAAGUGCCAUUGGAACACCAGCAACACAGAGAAGGGGAGGCCAAACUCAUGUUUUCCAACAGUAUCAGCAACCAGCUCGAGACAGAUAGUUAUGGCAGGGCUACUUCAGAACGUAUGAGCAGGAUAUGCAGGCUCAGUUCAUGAAAGCAAUGACAAAAGGCCCGAGGAUGGAUUUUCCUAGAUUCUCUGGUGAAGAUCCUGUGGGCUGGAUUCGACAAUGCAACAAGUAUUUCCAAAUGGCAGCAACACCCGUAGAGUACAAAGUAUCACUCUCUCAAAUGUACAUGACAGGAGAUGAUGAUGUAUGGUUGAGGAGAUCUGGUUUACUCAAGAAACAAUUGUCAUGGCAAGAAUUUGGAAAAGAAAUCAUCAAAAGGUUUUCUGCCCAAGGCUCUUAUGACCUCACUGAAAAAUUUGCUUCUCUGAAACAAGGAAGCACUUCAGUGUCAGAGUACACCAAGCUGUUUGAGGAUUUAAUGGCUGAAUUGCAGGAGGAAAACCCCACAUUAUCUGAACCCUGGUUUAUAAAGUGCUAUGUUAAUGGGAUGAGAGAUGGAAUUAAGUACCAAUUGAGACUUCUUAGACCCACUUCUUUAACUGAUGCUUACUGUUUGGCAAAAGAGAUUAAACCUUGUCACCCUCCUCCUGUGACAAAUGUUAAGAAGUCAACAACCCCUUACAACAACUAUUGGCAAAAAAAUGUAGUGCCUACAGUAGGGAAAUAGGUGAUCAACACUGCAACAGUUCCAACAACUAGCAACACAAAGAGCACUGAACAUGUGAACAGUCAAAUUUAGAAAAUCAGAAAAGCAGGGGAAUGUUGGAGGUGUGGAGAUAAAUGGGUCCAUGGCCAUAAAUGCACUUUAGUUCCUAAUGUGCGCAUGUUACAGCAAGAAAUGGAAGAAACUGGUCCAUAUGAGACAGAUAAUUACCAACAGGAAGUAAUAGAGGAAGGGACAGAACAGCAGGAGCAAGCAAUGUUUAUCUCGGCACAUGCUAUGGGCCAGCAGCUUGCUGUACAAUCUCCUACAGUAAUUGUCCAUGUAAAUGGUAAAAGAGCAGUAACACUACUGGAUUCAGGGAGUUCAACCUCUUUUAUCAGUGAGCAGUUUGCAAAUCAAACUGUCAAUUACUCCCUGUCAGGCCUAGAAAGGUCUCUGUAGCUGGAGGAGGCCUGCUACUUUCCACUGCUGUAGUACCCAACUGUGCCUUUCAGCUAGCCAAACUGAAGUUGGAACAUUCUUUCAGAAUUCUCAACCUCCCUAGUCAUGAUAUGAUUCUAGGUUAUGAUUGGUUUUCAUUGGUUAGUCCUAUGGCUUUUGAUGUGCCUCACAACCAGUUCAGCUUCACUCUCCAAGGUAAAACAACAGUAACAAUGGCAGUUUACAAUUCUAGUGAGGAAAUUUUGGAGAUACUAGCAAAACAAGUCACUAAACUAUUGGACAAGGGUGUGGAAACUUUUCUUCUCCAAAUUCACAAUAUAGUGGCUCAAACUCCUGAUAAGCACUGUAUACCAGCUGCAAUAAACAACUUGUUACUGGAAUAUAAGGAUGUUUUUGCAGAACCAUUACCUCCAAAAAGGGAAUUAGAUCAUAAAAUUCCCUUGAUGUCAGGAGUUGAACCACCCCAUGUCAGGCCAUAUAGAGUACCUCAUCACCAAAAGGAAGAAAUGGAGAAGCAAAUUAAACACUUACUGGAUAAUAAACUCAUAAGAAAUAGCCAGAGUCCAUAUGCAACCCCUGUUCUUCUAGUUAAAAAGAAAGACAGUACUAUGAGACUUUGUACUGAUUUCAGAAGGCUGAACACUGUGACAGUGAAGAACAAAUUCCCUAUACCAGUAAUUGAGGAUUUGCUGGAUGAGUUGCAUGGAGCAAAGGUUUUCUCUAAAAUUGACUUAAGGUCAGGAUAUCACCAGAUAAGGAUGGACCCUGCAGACAUUCAUAAAACUGCAUUCAGAACUUUUCUGGGACACUAUGAAUAUUUGGUGAUGCCCUUUGGAUUAUCUAAUGCACCAGCAACAUUUCAGGCUCUCAUGAAUCUUCUAUUUUCUAAAUACAACAGAAAGUUUGUACUGGUAUUCUUUGAUGAUAUCCUAGUAUUUAGCAAUACUAUAGAAGAGCAUGUGGAACAUUUAUGGCAAGUGUUGCAAAUCUUGAGAGAAAACCAGCUAUUUGCAAAGAUGUCCAAAUGUGCAUUUGCAGUUCCUCAGGUGGAGUAUUUGGGACAUGUGGUUUCUGGUGAAGGACUAGCUACUGAACCCAGCAAGAUCAAAGCAAUUGUGGACUGGCCUACACCUACUGACAUCACUAAAUUGAGAAGUUUUUUGGGUUUAGCUGGCUACUACAGGAAGUUCAUCAAAUAUUAUGGGACAAUUUGCAGGUUCAUCAAAGAUUAUGGGACAAUUUGCAGACCAUUACAUUAUGCUCUUAAGAAAGGAAAAUUUCUGCGGAUAGUUGACCAAGAUAAAGCUUUCAGAAAACUGCAACAAGCUUUAGUUACAGCUCCAGUUCUAGCUCUGCCCAAUUUCAAUGUCCCUUUCACACUGGAAACUGAUGCCUCUGGUUAUGGUAUUGAGGCUGUACUUAUGCAAGAGGGCAGACCAUUGGCAUAUUACAGCUCUUCACUCUCUUCCAGAAAUGCUGCUCUAUCUACUUAUGAGAAAGAAGCUUUAGCAAUUUUGGAAGCUUUAAAGAAAUGGAGGCACUAUUUAUUGGGCAACUCUGUAAUCAUCAAAACUGAUCAGCAGUCCUUGAAGUUCAUUACUGAUCAAAAGAUUACUGAGGGAAUACAACACAAAUUAAUGAUGAAAUUGCUGGAGUUCAAUUUCACAAUUCAGAAACACCAUCUGCAAACAUCAAAUUUACGUCUCUGUGGAGUUUUUACCCUCACAAAAUCCAGAUUACCUUAUUUUAAGGGCAGCCCACCGAAAAUGUUGCUUGGGACCAUGGUCCACCCGAACCCACGCUCAGAACCACUCAUCCUAGGACACCGCGUAUGGGGAUAUGUGCAUGGUUGGUAAAGUAUUGCAUGGCGGGAACAAUUUAGGGCGAUGGUGGAAACAGUUUAGUGAGGAUUAGAAGCACUGCAUGUGCUAAAUAAUCCUAUUUGAUCCUAGUAGCUAAUAAAAUAGUCAUGUUGCAUUGGGCAAUGAAAUGUUAUCUGCCAUGCACAACCACUGUUCACUAUUGUUUAUUGCCUCGUUAUGCCAUGCACAACCACUGUUCACUAUUGUUUAUUGCCUCGUUAUGCCAUGCACAACCACUGUUCACUAUUGUUUAUUGCCUCGUUAUGCUCGUCGAGCUCUGUUUCCAACACAUGCAUGGAUGCAACUAAAAGUAGUAGAUAAUUUUUCAUAGUUAUAUUUGUGGCUCUUUUUUCUUCAAUUUUGUAUCCCAUGAAACUUACAAUUUUCCUGUACAUGAUUGAUGACCUACUGAUCAGACAUAUAGCAAAGCCAAUAAUAUGUAAAAGUUUUAGUUGCUGAACAGAUAAUUAGAUAAUUUUUCGUAGUUGAUGUGUCUACAUCUCUUUCUUCCAAAAAUCAGUACUAAUUUCCUACAUAAUAUUGUAUUGAAAGUAUUAUAAGUACAUGCUAGAUUUCUCUCACGUAACAUAUCGCUAUUCAAUUUUAGAAAAAUCUAGACAUUUUACAUAUGCUUAUCAAAGACUUCAAAAUAAUUCUUUUGUAGCUGCUAUGCAUGAUAAAUCGCCAUUUGGUGCAUAGGUGUGAUAGGUAUGUACCUAGAGACAUGUGCCAACCCAUCUAGUCUGAAAUAAAAAAAUAGCUAGCCCACGCAGGCCUAGGGUGUGCUUAUAAGCAGAUAGGUUAACGUGAGCCUGGAGAGGUUAAGAUUUAACAGAAAAUUUGAACGCAAAAGAGGCACAUAUCCACACGUGGAAAGGUUGGAAAUCGUAUGGUCUCACUAGUAGAAAACAGGGCUUUGGUUCGGCCAGAAAAGAGCAUUAAUCCCGGUUGCAUUACGAACCGGGACUAAUGUGAGCAUUAGUCCCGGUUCGAGCGGCUAGGGCACCGUACAGGCAUUAGUCCCGGUUCAAAUGGGACCUUUAGUCCCGGUUGAUGCCACGAACCGGGACUAAAGGGUGCGAUGCCCAUUAGUACCGGUUCGUGGCACCAACCGGUACUAAAGGUUAGACCUUUAGUCCCGGUUCGAGCCACCAACCGGUACUAAAGGUCCCAUUUUCAAACUCUACCCCCCUAUCGCCUUUUCAGUUUUGUAAAAAGCAAACAAAAAAAGAUAAAAACUUCAGAAAUUAAAAUCCUUCCAGAUGUAGUUAUGUUACUACAUGUACUAGUUAGGAAAAUUUAAAUACUUAAAUUUGGACAUGUUUUGCAAAUGGUGUAGGGAAAAUGUAAAACGGCUAUAACUUUUGCAUACGAUGUCAGAAAAAAACGUAUAAUAUAUCAAAAUGUUCAGCACGAAAAUCCGCAUCCGAUUUUGACAGCCUAUGGCCUGUUUGCAAAUUUUUAGAAUCCUCAAAUUCUAAAAGGAAAAAAAGUUAUGCUCAAAUUUCUGUUUUUUUUUGAAUUUUUGUUAAAUCUGGUCAAACUAUGGUCAAACUACUUAUUCAAGAAGUAUUAGUGUUACUAAAUAAUUAUUCAAGAAUAUUAGUGUUAUUAAAUAAUUAUUUCAGUUUUUUUGAAUUUUGGUCAAAUCUGGUCAAACUGUGGUCAAACAAUGGUCAAACUAAUUAUUCAAGAAAUAUUAGUGUUACUAAAUAAUUAUUUCAGCUUUUUUGAAUUUUGGUCAAAUCUGGUCAAACUGUGGUCAAACUAUGGUCAAACUACUUAUUCAAGAAAUAUUAGUGUUAUUAAAUAAUUAUUGUUUUUUAGAACAAUAGUUUCAAACUCAAACAGUGAAAUGUGUGACUUCAUGCUCAAGCUAAAUUCCUGAGGGUUAAUAGGAUUGACAUCUUACUAUUGUCAAGAAAACAACAAGUGAAGACUUGGAAACGAGGGAGAAUAGAACCCGGAAGUUAAGCGUGCUCAGGCUGGAGUAGUGAGAGGAUGGGUGACCGUCCGGGAAGUUAGAUGAUUUGGAAUGAUGAGGGUGAUUAGAGAUUAGAGGUUAAAUUGAGCAGUGAUGAGGGGUGAUUAGAGAUUAGAGGUUAAAAUAAUUCUGAAAUUUGAAAAUAAAAAAAAUUCAAAAAAAUAUUUCAAAAAAAAAUCAUAAAAUUUCCUUUAGUACCGGUUGAUGUUACCAACCGGGACUAAAGGUGGACCUCCAGGCAACGGCCACAUGGAGGGCCUUUACACUUUAGUCCCGGUUCCAGAACCGGGACUAAAGGCCCUUAUGAACCGGGACUAAAGACCCUUUUUCUACUAGUGUCUGGACCAUGGGUUCGGCCGAACCAUGGUCCUGAAAAUCGCCAUAUUAGGCAAAUCAAUUUUCAUGUUGUUACUCAUUUACAGACAGCUUCUGGAGGCAUCCUUUUAAGCAUGUAGUUUCUACCAAAUUGCAGAACUGUGUCUGUGCCUCUAUGGCGUAAAAUAUAACGGUUUAUGCAUGCAUUUUUGUUGUUUAAGUAUAACCAUCCACAGAUACACCCACUUUUUUUCUGGCUACCGUUUGGAAACCAUUUAAUUAGAUCUACCAAUAUUCCAUUUCCUCAUCUUCAAUUUUUAGAUUUUUUUGCUUGUCACUUUAGUUAUGUAUCUAGUGUAAGGUAUUACACGACCAGUCUGUUCCCUAACUAUCUUUUGUGUGUGAUUCAGAAAGGUUGGAUCAAGACAUCAGCGGAAUUGGGGCUACUAAUUGUGACCAUUCUUUCCAGUGUUCAUGCGUUUCAAUGUGGGUCAGUUCAUCUUGUCCGGUAAGGAAGGAUCUUCUUAAUCACUGUUUCAUUGCGUGCUAAGGGGGAAACUAGGAAUCACUUUGUUUCAGAUGGAAGCCAUCUUUUCUUGUUUUGUCUUUACACUACAUCUGGGUUGCCAUUACUCAUUUUAUAUAAAUCUUCUCAUGUGUUCACUUACUUUUAAUAUUCUUUAGUAGGACUGGUUAGUGAAGUAAAAAGAAUUCCACAGCAAUGUUGAAUGUGCAGUCAUCUGGUGACUGAUAUCACACAUUAGGCUUUAUUUGUACUCUUGGACACUCGGAGCCUACUGAGGUUCAGGGGUAUUUGCAGUGUUAAAUAUUAACCUUUGUGUCUGUUACUCAUGUGAAUAAAUUUCACUCGGUAUAGAGUAUUGAAUGUUCACACCAACUGUUUGAAUCUAAUUAUCUAAGAUACAUAUUGACUUAAAUAUUAAACCUUGUGUCUAGUGCUCAUAUGAAUAUAUUUUUACCCGGUAUAGAGUAUUGAAUGUUGUUGCCAGCUGUUUGAAUCUAUAUCCAAGUUACAUAUUGAUUUUCACUUCAAUUGACUAGAUCAUAAAAUUGCAAACGAGUAAAUGCUGCUUUAUAGACACAAACAUUAAUUCCAAGUUUCCAACACUAUAACCACAUGUAUGUGUAGCGUUAAAUUGUCUGUGUAUUGGGUUCCAUCGUAGUUUGCCUUUAUUUAUUGUUGUUUCCAUUUCAGGUUUGUCAGUUCUGUCAGAAGCUGUCUGAAGCUCCUACAAAUCCUACAUGUUCUGUUUGCCAGACCUCUGAAAACCUCUGGAUCUGUGUGAUAUGUGGUUUUGUUGGAUGCGGAAGGUAUGCUAACACCGACUGACUGAAAGUGUACCAGAACUUGUAGUCGUCCUACUAUGGCAGGAAUGCUUAAGCAUUUCACACCUUUACAUAAUAUGCUGUACUGUUGGUCUGGUGCACUCAGUAGAAGUUAGGAAGAAAGGAAACCUACAUUGGAGCUUAACUAUAUCAUCACUUCUACUACUCCCAGACUCCCUGAUAUGUGGCUUUUAUAUGUAGUAAAAGUAGGAAACCUACAUCGGAACUUUACUAUGUCAUCACUUCUAUUUCUCCCAGACUACCUGAUACAUGUCUUUUAUGUAGUAAAUAGUUAUUUCAUUUUGACCUUUUCUCAUCAGAAGUUCAGAACUAAUAGUCGCUCUGCUAUGUGCUAUUUCAAAGCAUUUAACAUGAAACUUAACUAUAUCAUUGCUUUUAUUUCUCGUAGACUCCCUGAUACGUGUCUUUUAUGUAGUAAUAGUUAUUUUCUUUUGACCUUUUUUAUCAGAUGUUCAGAAUCCAUAGUCGCUCUGCUAUGUGCUAUUUUGAAGCAUUUAACAUGAUUAUUUAAAGAAAAACUAUGUCAGAGGUUAUUAAUUCUACUUUUGUCAACAUGCCCAAAUCAACCUUCACUUUAUUAAUUUGCCGUUGAUAGGUAUAAAAAAGGGCAUUCAAUCAGGCACUGGAAAGGCACUCAACACUGCUAUUCUCUCGAUUUGGAAACUCAGCAUGUUUGGGAUUAUGUUGGUGACAGUUUUGUCCAUCGGCUCAAUCACUCAAAAAGCGAUGUAAAGCAUGCUAAGUUCAGUUCGAAGUGUGAAUAUCCUGGGGACAACUGUGUAAACUGCAUGCACGAUGACUCAGAUAUGGGUGGAGUUAUGUUUAGCAGCAAAGCGGACACAGUAAGAGAUUUAAGUUUCUUUGUUUUGAUUCUCUGUAACACCUUCUUGGUAUUCUUGCUCCUCAAAAUCAUGUGCCCUGCUCUUCUUAACAGAUUGUGGAUGAAUACGAUCGUCUUUUAGCAAGCCAACUUGAAACUCAGCGAGAGGUGCAGUGCUCUUUCCUUUGUAGUACUAUUUUUUUGUAUGGUCACUAUCCAUUGUAUUGUUCUAGAGCUUCUCAUAUAGUUUUUCUUGGAGAUAAAUUUUGUUAUAGUUAUGUAAUAUUCUGAUCCAAUUAUAUGCGUGUGUUUGUUCAUAUUGACAGUAUUACGAAGCUCUUUUGUCAGACGCCAAGAAGGAAAGGGAACACCAUAUUUCUGUUGCUGUGGAUAAAACUAUAAAUGAUAAGCGUCAAGAGCUGCAACUUGAGCUUGAAAAUACAAUGUUGGAGAAAAAGAAAGUUGCUGAAGUGAGCUUAUUUAAAUCACGCUGCCUUUUCCAUUAUAAUGUACAACCAGUUUUCCUAUUGAUGUAACUGAUGUCCUAUGCCUUAUCCUGUAGAUGAAUGAAAAACUCACGAAGAGCCAGGAUAUAUGGCACCAGACAGUAAAAGGAAUAGAGGAAAGGUAUGUUUUGAUCUUUCCACCUGAAAAUGGUAGUAGCCGUGCAACAUUCAAGAUGUGUCAUGUGAAAGAAGUCAAAUAAUGCAUUUUUGGGGGCACAUUAUGAACAUAGAUACUUGAAAUGAUUUGCUGAACUAUAUACUUUAUGUCAUGUUCAGUCUUAUUUAGAGGUUGUUUGAAUAUUCUCCUUUCAUAUCUAUUCCAUUCUAAAAUGCCACAAGUUUCCUGUAUCCUUUUUUGAUGAUUCUGCAUUCACAGGGAGAGAGCACAGUUGAAGCUGAAAGAUGAUACGAUUCUUGACCUCGAAGAACAGGUGCCUAUAUUUUUCAUUGCUGUUUCGUGUAAAAGCUAUAAUAUCUGGAGGUGGGUUUCAGUACUAGGGGCAUUCGUUAACAUGUCCUAUAUAAUCCCUGCAGCUAAAAGACUUCAGAUAUUCCAUCAAGUUACAAAAGUCUAUGGCGAAGAGUUCACAUGCUGAUGAUCUCAAAGGAGGUAUGCUGGUGCCACUGGCCAUGGAGUCAGAUUCCGGAAAGGGUAAAAGGUCGUCAAGAACAAGCAAGAGAAGGAAUUAGUGGCGACUUUGCUAGUAUGAAUGCAUGACUCUUCACCAUUUGUUGUAUAUGCUAAGAUUCUGCAUGUUAACUUCUGACUUUGUGUGAGAAGCACAAGGUCGCUCUUUCAUUGUAGUUUCUCUCACUGUACUAAUCAAGUUCAUCUGAUACAGUCUCAGCAAGAAAAACUAGAAUCUGAUUCAAAAUACAAUUUUGUUACAUACCCAGAAAGUAAUUUCAGGAAUGCACACUACAUAACCGUAAUACUGUUUUGCAUUACAUAACUUGCAAUUUGUAAUUGUUCAAGCACUACAGCUCGAGCAUUACAGAUCUUCCGUAAGGAUGUGUAAUUGCUCAAGCACUGUCAAUAAAUGACAUUUUGUCCGAUAUGGUUUAGCUUUAUAUAACUAUCUAAAUCUUGACGUUUUAGCUAAAUUCCUUUUUAUGGACUAUUAGAGUGAUAAAAUAAUUUUAGAAAAAUGUUCAAAAAAUAGUGGAGUGGCUGAUGAUCGCAAAGGGGUAUGCUGGUGCCACUGGCCAUAGAAUCAGAUUCUGGAAAGGGGUAAAAGGACAUCAAGAACUAGAGACCGCACAAAACGCCCGUGACCUCCUCCCCUCGUGCGGCGGCGGCGCGCCGCACCGGGGCCUCCCCGCCGGGCCUCCCUCUCCUCCCCGCCGCCGCCGCCGAGGGCAUCGCAGGCUAAGCCUGUGGGCCGCAGCGGCGGCGGCGGCAGUCUUCCUCGGCCAGCGAUCAGAUCUGGGUGGCGGCGACCCACUCCGGCCGAUUCAAGGGCGGUGGCGCAGGCCGGUGGCGACCAGGGUUGCCGUGCUGGCGGUGGCGACGAAGAGAUCACAUCGGCGGCUAGUGUGUCCGAUCUGGAUCCCUUUCGGAUCUGGAUGGGGCUCGAGCCGUCGUGCGCAUCCUUUGUUCCGGCGCGGCAAGCGGCCUCUGGACUAGGCACGCGACACGAGGACGUCGGGGGCUCCGGCCCUGGGCAUGGAGGUGGUGGCCAUCUUCUUCGCCGGAGGUGGUCGGCUAGAUGGUUGUUGAUUCUCGCAUCCAGUCCCGGCGUAGAGUGGGGAGACGACACUGCCGGUGAAAACCGUGCUAUGACUCGGAUCAUGGCGGGCGAUGGCGGCGUUUUCGCGUCGUUAUCUUGUUGAAGACAUCGCCUCUGCAGCUUCUGUCCACUUGCUUGCGCUGCUCUAGGUGAAAACCUAGAUCCGGAGUUUCCGGAUCGGACGAUGGCGGUGCUUUUGGCGUCGUUUUCCCUCAUGGGGGCAUCGUUUUUUUGAGCAGCGACUGGAUGCAAGACCAGAGGACGGAUUCUUUGGUGGAGCGGUGUGACAUCUCACUCAUUGAUGGCGGCGGGUCUCGGCGGCAUGGCGUUGUGGUGACUCUGCGUCCGAUGCGCAGAGAUGGACUCGUGCAGGAGGGUGACGCGGUCUGGCGUCGUGGUGGUGUCGACGGCAGCUAGACCGGGCAAGGUAGAUGCAGCAGUACAGCUCUGAAGAUGGAUUGGUGGCAGGUGGCUGCGGCGGCAUCAGACCCGGCAGGCGUCCUGGUUGAGGAGUGCGCCAGACUGGUAGGUGACCCAUACCCGGCAGACGUCCUGGUUGGGACCUCGGGUCUUAGAUGUUAGGUUUGGCUGCGAGGUCUGUUUGGUACUAGGCCCAGACUAUCAGCAUCCUUUCAUCACUUGGAUAGGAGUAGCGACACUUUUGUUGCCUAGACGGUGGCUUCAGUCUUACUGUUGUAUGACUUUGUAAGGUCUUAUGUGAAUAAUUAAUAAAGUGGCUGCAUGCAUCGUCCAGAUGCAGAGGUCGGGGGUCGUCCUCCAUUUAUAAAAAAAAUAACAAGCAAGAGAAGGAAUUAUGGGCGACUUUGCCAGCAUCAAUAGUACGAUCUGUUAUUGGCCGUGUAUGUAAAGCUUCUGAUACAUUCUCUGUAAGAAGUAGUACAAUCUGUUACAAAGGAGUAGGUUACAUUACGGAACCAGAAAGGAAUUAAGAAAGCUCUGUGGAUCUUACAUAAGUAUACUGUAGCUAACAUGUGUAAUGCUCAAGCACUAUAUGACUUGCAAUGUGUAAUUACUCAAGCACUACAGCUUGAGCAUCACAGAUCUUCCGUAAGGAUGGCAAAAUGAGAACCCAACGGUGGCCCAAAAUGUCAACACAAAACCGGCAGUUGUGACAACAUAUAGAACUAGGUCAUUGGGCGUCUCUUCCACAUCAUUCCCCACAGCAGGAUCUGGACCGGGAGCAGCACAAGUAUUCCCCUGAGUAAUAUCGUGAAGGUUGGUGUUGGCUAGGUAGCUGUCCAUGCUGAAUGAACCGAGCUGUCCAUAGUUUGGUAUGCAUCCUGACAAGUUGUUGUAUGCCACAGAGAAUGCCCCCAAUGAUGACAAUUGAUUUAACUGCCAAGGUAUUAGUCCACUCAGUUCAUUGUGGGAGAGGUCCAAGCUUUCUAUCUCCUCCAUGCUGCCCAAGGUCGGCGGGAUCGGGCCAACAAAGAAAUUGUAUGACAGGUUAAGGGAUUUGACAUGGCUUAGGUUCCCUAGGUCCCAGGGAAUUUCUCCAUGCAACAUGUUUGCAGAUAAGUCGAUUCCAGCCAUUGAAUCGAAGAAAUCGCGACCGUACGUGUAAAUAUUUCCUUUGGUAGCAAAGGUGAAGCCACUUAAGUCAUAUCCACCAAAGUACAGUUUACUCUCAGAUACUGACUGAAAAAUUGCAUCGACCCUAUCACCUUUGAAAGAGAUAUUACCAAUACAUGCUGGCAGAGAACCUGAAAGCUUGUUAUGUGAAAAAUCAAGUAUCCUCAAGUACAUGAGUCUGCACAGGGUUGGAGUGAUUUGCCCUUCAAACUUAUUUCCACCCAGCGAAAGUAGCCUAAUGUUGUCAAGGUAACUUACCCAAUUGAGGUUGCCCAUGAACUGAUUGUGUCUCAUAUCCAAAGCAAUCAGACUUGAUGUGUUGAAAAGGGGAAAAGAGAUAUCACCAGAUAAGGAGUUCCCAGUAAGAUUAAGAAAAUUCAGCCCUAUGAAGCAACUGUUUGGUACAGAUCCUGUAAGGUUGUUGCGCGACAGAUCUAAAAGGCGAAUGCCUGUGAAGCCACAAAUGUGUUGAUCAAUUUUUCCAGUUAUACGGUUUCCAGCAAGAUUCAGGACUGACAAAGAUGGCAGAUCCCAAAAUGCCGUAUCGAGUUCCCCAGACAGCUCGUUGUCAUGCAAAUCAAUGACCUGUAGAAACUUUCCUGCCAGAUCAUGAGGCAAUGUCCCUUUAAAUUUGUUACCAUCCAAGCACAAUUCAUAUAUAUUUGACAGAUUAUUCAUCCCACAAAAAAUCGGACCACCAAGCUUGUUGUUUGAGACCUUCAAGAUGAAUAGCCCGGGAGAAUUAGUAAAAACACAAGCUGGAACCUCCCCAGAAAGUUUGUUGUUUGAUAGGUCUAAAAAUCCCAUGGAGCUGAUCUCACACAUUGACGUUGGUAUGUGCCCCAACAAGUCGUUAAUACAACCAAGCCUGGAAACAUUGAGCUUUUUUCGACAAAGGGUGAUUUUUUAUUGACUCAUAGUGUAGCAUCGAGGGAUACAAUCAUAAUGAGUACACACCCGGCCUCUGCACAACUAGGAUGCACACAGCCAACACAACACACGCACACACACGAUCACUUCGGCAAAGAGCAAAGUCAUAAAAGACCAAAGCUAUGCCUAGGUGGAGAAAAGAAAACCCGAUGAAUUGAAAGCAACGAUAAACGGUAUACAGCAGUGACCAUCGGCGUCAACCAUCUCUUCACAACACAAGGACUAUGAGAAAGGCUCUUCAAAAGCGACGCCUCCAGGAAGGGAACGACGUUCAAGCGCCGCCGUCGCCGAAUCCAACCACACCAAGGUUAGAUCAUGGGUUUUCACCCUGAAGAUGUUGUCCGAGCCAAUUCCGAGCAAUGCCCUCAUUAGGGUAACGACGCAAAAGAACGCCGCCAUUGCGAGAUAUGACCAACUAGGGUCAAACCUAUGGUUUUCACCACGGAGCUCGAGACUAGGUACUAAAGAAGUACCACCCAAUCGAAGUAGUCUUGUGUCGUCUCCUCCACCUUCCUCGAUCCCAGUAGUUGCAUAUGCGCACGGUCCUUGUGACGGGGGAUGUCCAUGCCCGUACGAGCAAGCUGACAAGACGAGACAAGAUCUUCUCUCGCCACCAUCUAACAAAGACUUUGACGGGGAAGAAGGACUGUCGGCACCACCAAAAUCCCGGGAUGGGGACACUCUGAAGGCCUACACCAUCCUCACAAGUAGCAGCUGUUGACUGAUCUGUAUCAGACGGCAGCUCCACGAGUUGCCACUACCUCCACCGUCCUUGUCAGUGGACGCAGAUCAUCCAGGUUGAAGAUCUUCAGGUAACCAGUCAAGCCCACAACCACACAGCAGCCUGUGGACCAGAUUCACGACCGAACCUGAGGGAACAACCACCAUGAGCACUACGCACCAACGCCAAAAAUGCACCCAUGGAGCAGUGGCCCUAGCAUGGAUGUGCUCUCAGGUUGGAUGCAUCGGAGGAAGUCACAGCACAAAACGCAGAAGAGCAACAUAUGUGCAUGCUCCAGUGGUCCUGUCAACGAAGAUGACUGCGUUACAAGCGUCCAUGAUGCCGACCUAAUUAUCCCAAGCCAUGCUUCCGCCAGAUACGUGGAGCGCCGGAGCUGCCGCUGCAGCAUCAACCUUCACAGCCGCCAGCCGCCAUCUGCAUCUCGUCGAACACGUUGCCCAAAGAUCCACGGGAACAGAACCCCGCCGCCGCCGUCAGCCGCCUGGGCAAGGCCCGAUGACGCCGACCGGCGGCGGCGAGGGGAAGGCGCACAGGGACGACGCCGGAAAAAACGGAUCGAGCGCCGCCCGAGUCGCCCAGGCAGACGACGCGGGGGCAGUUUUCAGCCCUGGUGGACAAAUUUGGCAUGCUACGGUUCAUGUGUAUGUCGAUACGGAUGAGAGAAGAUUGGGUAUGCCAUAUUGAAUCCAGGGAUCCAGUUAGCGAGUUAUUCCCAAGAUUUAGAUCCCAGUAGCGUUGCUUCCUUAGUAAACAACCAAUUUGGCAUGCUACACAAGUUAUUGUUGGACAAAUGAAGCACCUCUAAACGAUGUUGUGUGCGCAAAAAAUGUGGUUCCGCAAUAAUGUUCUUGUCAAGGUCACAACCAGAGAGGAGCAGUUGUUUCAAUUGGAACGGAGGUGUCCAUCCGAAAAUAUUAAUGUCAACAGCUAGGGCCUGAAAGGUCUAUCUCUUCUAGUUUUGUGAGGCUUUGAAGCGAAAUGAAAGAAAGUCUACCACUCAAAUUGUUUUGAGAAAAACGAAGACUCUUAAGCGACAAUGAAAGAUUGGAAGAAGGAUUUAUCAGGAUUGACCCUCCCAGCAAAUUAUUUGAGAGAUUCAACCGUUCAAUAUGUGGAAGCGAAAACAAGGAUGUUGGAAUGUUUCCGCUGAAUUGGUUGAAACUCAAAUACAACUCUCGUAGGUUCUGAAGAUUUCUAGUUUCUGCAAAAUAAUAAAAUCAUGUAACAAUUAGAAACAAUGGCAACAUUACUUUCACUGAUCUAAGUCGGAAUUAAAUGCUCAUUGUGUACCUCGUUCAGUCGGAAGAGCUCCACUCAACAUAUUAGACUCUAGAUGUAAGACUUCAAGCUGAACUGGUUCUGAAGACACACUAGUAGGAAAAUGUCCCUCAAAGUAAUUAUACGAGAGAUCUAGGGAAUUCAGCUGAGGAAGUGCAAAUAAUGACACAGGGAGAGAUCCGCUAAACUGGUUGUGACCCAAAUUCAAGCUCCUGAUGUGUUUAAAAGCUGCAAUGCAUACAAGUUGUAUAAUUAUUACAGGUGGCAGAAACUGAGGUAUGAAACAUGAAAUCCCUUUUUCCAAUGUAAGAUUUUUUUUACCUCUAACCGGGAGAGUUCCGUUGAGGCGAUUAAAACCGAGAUCUAGGACUUCAAGUGAAAUUGGCCCUGAGAAUGAGCCUAUUGAAAUAUGCCCAUCGAAGUCAUUGGAGGAGAGAUCUAGGAUCUUUAGGUGAGGAAGUGCGAAUAGCGAAGCUGGGAGGCUUCCGUCCAAGCUAUUCCCAGAUAUGUUCAGUUGUUGCAAGUUUCUGAGAUUCUCAACAGCUGCAAUGUGUGUAGGCAGUAGGCAUGCGAGGCGAGUUUAUGAAUAUGCAAUUUUUGACGGCUACCUUAGCACUAUACUAUAAUUAAGCACAAAUCUCUACCUGCGUUUGGAAGACCUCCGGUCAUGCCGUUACCAGUGAGAGCUAAAACAGCCAGUGAAACAAUUUGCCCAAUAAAUUCCGGGAAACCCCCUCCGAACCAAGUGAAACUGAGGUCGAGAUAUCGAAGUUUGGCUAGUCCAACUAAACCUGCACGUGUUUUUGUUUGUACAGCAACGAGAAUAAGAAGUCAUCGCACAUACAUAUAUUGUUCUAAAGAAAAGAGAAUUUGGAGCACAAACGUACCUUCCAAGGCUAGUGAACAUCGAUAAUUGUAUGACAGAUCAAGGUAUUGAAGGUCAUGUAAUGCAGAAAACACCGUCGAGUUUGCAUACCAACUCCCUUCUGAAUUAGUUACACAUACAUAGGAAAAGUUGAGAUGAGACACUCGCUGUGUUGUAUUGUUGCAUUUCACGCGCUCCCACGAGCAGCAGUCAUCACCAUCCUCCCCCCAUGAAUCAAGCGCACUCAGGGAAUGCGCUCUUACCAGAGAAGAUCGGAUGUCAAGUAGAGCAGCCCUCUCCUCCACGAAGCAGGCAGAGGACGAGUGAAGCAUGGGCUGCAACAACACAAGUAGUAUCAAAGACAAUGAUCCCCAUGGCAAGCAGCUACCCAUAGCUAGACUUUGGAAGAGAAAUGGUGAGUGGUUUUGCAGUUCUGCAGGCUUUGCUUUUAUCUUCCGCUAGCUUCUUCUUACUAACUACAGACAAGAACAUGCCAGGAAUACGAGACAAGGAGUACAACUUGGCACACACGGUCAGUUUACUAGCUUGCACCGAGUCUUCAUCAAUCAUUCAUCCUCCACAAUAAACAUUGUUUUAAAUAUAUUUUGAUGCAUCCUUGACCAGGUGGAUGGCCAAUAGUCGCAGCCGGCAUAUUUUGCCGGCCGGGACUAUUCAAGUUCUAACAAGGACGUCAUAUGGGGUCCAAGUCCAACAAUGUGGACAGGAACACAUAUGUAUCUUGAGAAACUACCAGGCUCAUGAAAGGACAGAGUAUACAUACAACUUCACUAAUCAUUCAUCACCUACAGGAAACCUUGUUGUAAAUAUAUUUCGAUGCAUUGUUGACCUGCAGGUGGAUGUCUAAUUUGUCGUAGCCAGCAUUAGGUGCCGACUAGACUUUUAAAGUUCUAACAACGUCAUCUCGGCCCCAAUGGAGACAGGGACGACACACAUAUCACAUACGAGUAGUAUGUUUCUUCAUCAAACCUAGGCUACCAGGGCCACGAAUGUACCAAAUAUAACUAGAAAACUUGAGCAAUGCAUAUCUAGUACAGUAGUACAGUACUAGCAAAUUUACUAACCAUAUGGAAGAUUCAGAAGAGACCAAACAAGAUGUACCAGCUGGAGCAGUCGGGAAGAGAUUGUGCAUUCAAAUCUUGAACCGGUUUCAUCGUUGAAUUCCUCGCAUAUGAUAUCUUCAAAACUAGAUGUCAUGUUGAUGGUUUUGACAAACUUUUUUUUCAUAAAAAAGACAAAAAACCCGAAGCACGUAUUUUCCCUUUUAGGAAGCUGUUUCCGAGAGGCGUCGCGAAGGAAUAAAAAAGAAAACAUUUUUUUCUGUUUCUGAGAGGCAUGGCCUCUCGUGGAAGUAAAACCAUGCCACUCGCGGAGGAAAAAAUAGAAGAGAAAACACCUUUUUUCCCUUUUCGAGAGGCACGGCCGUGCCUGUCGCCGAAGCAAAUCCAUGCCUCUCACUGAAGAAAAAAAAAGAGAAAACAUAUUUUUUUUCAUUUGUAAAUAUCUAUAUGUAAAUUUCGCCGAAACAAUAUUUCGCGGAGUAUAUUAUAGAACGGAGGGAGUAUAUGACUCGUGUUGCAUCAAGAGAGAGCUCCUAUAUGAUGCACCUUGCCUCAAAAUGGUGGCAUCCCUCCAUGCGGGUCGGCCAAUAGUGCUAGCUGCUGUACACAGCGCUGCAUCACCCUUUUUUUGCUACGUCUGGUUUUCCGAAUUUUCCUAAUAAAAAGUUUUCAGUUGGUUUUAUUUUUGAGGUUAUGAACUUUUUCUUUUCAAAAUCGAUGAACUUUGUACAAAUUUGUGUACUUUUCCAAAAUUGAUGAACAUUUUUUGAAAAUAUUCAUGAACUUUUUUCAAUAUCUGAUGAAUUUCUUUCAAAAUCAAUGAACUUUUUCAAAUUAAUGAACAUUUUCCGGAUGCGUGAACUUUUUUUAGAAUUUAAUGAUUUUUUAAACUUUUUUGCGAGCUUUUUGUAAAAGAUAACAGUCAACAAGCUGAUCAAUAGUCCAUAGUCCGGUUAACAGUUAACUUUUUUUUUUGAGCGGUCUGUAAACAGUUAACGAGGGACCUGGGACCGAGCGACGAGCGAGCAGAGCGAGUGAGGAGGAGCAACCUACUACGAUCGUUCGCUGAUGCUUAAUGGGCCGGCCCAAUCGACCUUCUGCGUUGGCGCCGGCUAAGCAAACUGGUGCAAAUGGCGCUGUAUAGCUAGGAGUAUUUUUUUUCCAGAAGCGCCCUUCUAGGCACUUUAUAUUCAACUAACAAACAUGCCCGUGCAUUGCAACGGGAGAGUACAUAUUUUUUAUCCAAGCCAUUGUUCUCAUUUCGAUUCAAUUUUGGUUCUGACUCGUAAUAUUGAUGACGUGCACCUACGGUUAGACUCAUAUAGCGACCGGUCGGUGUCGUUCGGAAAUAAGGAGGCCGCGUCUAUAAAUUAAGUCUAUUUAAGAAAACUCAUAUGUGUCCCCGUCACAUGCAACGGAUAAAACAUAAAUUAAGAUCCUAUGAAACACAAAUUAAGAUCCUAUGUAUCGGUUUCAAUAUUAACGUUCACGGCUAUCACAAGAAUUGUUCGGAUAUUUUCAAAAUAAAUUUUCAUGUACUUUUGAUGUUCAUGAAUUUUAAGUGUAUGUAUAUGCUAUAAAAAAUUUGAAAAAAUAUUGUGUACUCCGUUGGUAAGCACGCAUGUGGAUUUGUCAAAAAAAAUGUACGCAGGGUCUUUUAACAUGGGACAUGUACGUAGGUUGCACCCGAAAUAGCAUUUUUUAAAUAGUUAAUAGAUAAAGUUAACAUCAUAUUCAAAUUCUACAUAUUUUUCUAAUCCAUUUAAUAUAUAAAAAAUAAUUGUGUACAAUGUUGGUAAAUACGCAUGUGGAUUUCGCCGAAAAAACAUACAUAAGGUCUUCGAUCAUGGGAUAUGUAUGUAGGUUGCACCAUAAAUAUCAUUUUUAAAUAGUUAAUAGAUAAAAAUAAAAUCAUAUUCAAAUUCUACACAUUUUCGUAAUCAAUUUACAUAUAUAAUAUGUUGAAAUUGAAGUUAGGGAUUAAAAGAUAUGAUUAUUUUAAAAAUUAUUCCAGAUGAACUGCGGGUUGAUUAACAUAAAUAUUAGGGGGUUUUAUGUAAAACUUUAGAAAACGAUUCACCCUAACUUAAAGUUGGACUGCGGGUUGAUUAGCAUAAACGUCAGGUUUUUUUUUGUAAAAUGAAAAAACGAUUCGUCCUGCCUUAAGGAUGGACUGCGGGUUGAUUUCAAUAAACUGCAAGGGUGUUUUGCAAAAAGGCAUGACGGACGACCAGAAACAUUUCGUGCUUUAUUAUUAGGGAAAGAUAAUGUGACGGUUUACAUCUGAUUGCACCAAGGCAACCAAAGAAGUAGGGAAUACAGUACAUCAUAAGAAACCACACUGGGUAAGUGGGUAUACUAACUAGACCCUCUCUUGCACACCAAUGAGCAGCCUCAUUGGCUUCCCUCCUCGUGUAGUUGAUGCAAAAACCCUGAAAAUUUGAGAGAUAGGAUUUAAUCUCUCUAAGAACCUGGCUUCCCAUCGACCGACAGUCCCCAGCCUUCCACUCCUCCGUGAUAGUUUGGCUGUCAGACUCGAUGAUGACCUGCCUCCAUCCCUUCUCCCUCUCAAUUUGUACAACUUCUCUUACUGCCAACUACUACGCACAGAAUGAAUCCGUAACCCCAGCAAGCUUAGAGCUUCGUGCAAGUAGGAGAGCCCCGUCAUGAUCCCUUGCCACUAGACCAAUGGCGGAUGAUCCUCCAUUCGCAUCGACUGCAACAUCUGUAAUCUUCACCUAGGCACUCUCUGGUGGCUUCCAGCGUACAAUCUGCUUUACCUUCUCCCCAAGUGCAUUGCAUGGGACAUUCAGAGCAUGGAUGAGCUCGUGAACCAGUACAUAGACCGGCGUCGUUGGUGCUGUUGUUGCAUUUCACACGCUCCCACGAGCAGCAGUCCUCACCAUCCUUCCUCCAUGAAUCAAGUGUCGCGGGGUGAGCCCGCUCUUAUCAGAGAAGACUGGAUGUCCAGUAGAGCAGCUCUCUCCUCCACGAAGCAGGCAGAUGACAAGUGAAGCAUGAACUGUAACAAGAAAAAUAGUAUCAAAGAUGAUGAUCCCCAUGGCAAGUAGCUACCCAUAUCUGAUAGUAGUAAGCUUUUCCCUCUCCUGUCUGCGUGCAUAUAAACUACAGUUGGGCUGUAGGUGCUCAGACUUUGAGGAGAAAAUGGUGAGUGUGUUUCUGCCGGUUCUGCACUAUUUUGCGAGCUUCUUCGCACCAGCUAUAGACAAGGACAUGCAAGGAAUAAAAGUCUAGGAGCACAGCUUGGCUGAGAUUUGGCAGUUUACUUGGACCAAGACUUGAGGAAUCAAUCAUCGUCUUUUUUGACUAAAUGCAGACCAAGACUUCUUUCAUCGCGAUUCCAAGAGGGAAACCGUUGAAUUACAAGGAGGGUAGCCAAAGAAACAGAGAAAGAAUUAAGAGGCCAGAGGCCUGUUGACCAAAGGCAGCCAGAACACGCUUUCUGGCCGUGUUAAUCCACAGAUUAGCUUCAAGCAGCAAUUUGGCGGAGACAAACAGUCUGGGGAGGGCUCGAGAUUGCUCUCAAAGUCCUCUGUCCAACCAGAUUCUGGAAAGGGUGAAAGGUCGUCAAGAGCAACCAAGAGAAGGAAUUAGUGGCGACUUUGCUAGUUUGAAUGCAUAUGAACCUCCAUCAUUUGUUGUACGUAUAUGCUAAGAUUCUGAAGAAUCAACGGAUGAGUUGUGGUUAGGGGUGAAAAGCCACUCCAACCCAUGUUAACUUCUGUCUUUGUGUGAGAAGCCCAAGGUCACUCUUUCAUUGUAGUUUCUCUCACUGUACUAAUCAAGUUCAUCUGAUACACUCUCAGCAAGAAAAAGUAGAAUCUGAUACAAAAUACAAUUCUGUUACAUACCAGAAAGUAAUUUGAGGAAUGCACACUACAUAACUGUAAUACUGUUUUGCAUUACAUAACUUGCAGUUUGUAAUUGUUUAAGCACUACAGCUCGACUGCUCAAGCACUAUUAAUAAAUGUC
rnacentral:lncRNA from 1 species